GAAGUUUCGGCAGCACAUAUACUAAAAUUGGAACGAUACAGAGAAGAUUAGCAUGGCCCCUGCGCAAAUGGUGUACCAAUGGUACUUACCGCCAGUAAAAUUGUCU